rnacentral:rRNA from 1 species
UACGGAGGGGGUUAGCGUUGUUCGGAAUGACUGGGCGUAAAGCGCGUGUAGGCGGCUCGGUAAGUCCGCUCUGAAAGCCCGGGGCUCAACCCCGGGAGGCGGGUGGAUACUGCUGAGCUCGAGUCCGGAAGAGGAGUGUGGAAUUCCUGGUGUAGCGGUGAAAUGCGCAGAUAUCAGGAGGAACACCAAUGGCGAAGGCAGCACUCUGGGACGUGACUGACGCUGAGACGCGAAAGCGUGGGGAGCAAACAGG